GAUGAACGCUGGCGGCGUGCCUAAUACAUGCAAGUCGAGCGAACAGACGAGGAGCUUGCUCCUCUGACGUUAGCGGCGGACGGGUGAGUAACACGUGGAUAACCUACCUAUAAGACUGGGAUAACUUCGGGAAACCGGAGCUAAUACCGGAUAACAUGUUUAACCGCAUGGUUCAACAGUGAAAGACGCUUUUGCUUUCACUUAUAAAUGUAUCCCCGCCGCUUUAGCUAUUUGGUAAGGUAACGGCUUACCAAGGCAACGAUCCGUAGCCGACCUGAGAGGGUGAUCGGCCAAACUGGAACGGAGACACGGUCCAGACUCCUACGGGAGGCAGCAGUAGGGAAUCUUCCGAAAUGGGCGAAAGCCUGACGGAGCAACGCCGCGUGAGUGAAGAAGGUCUUCGGAUCGUAAAACUCUGUUAUUAGGGAAGAACAAAUGUGUAAGUAAAUAUGCACGUAUUGACGGUACCUAAUCAGAAAGCCACGGCUAACUACGUG
rnacentral:rRNA from 1 species